AUGCCAGCUGAGCCCAGUCUUCCAGCCGAGGCACCAUACUGGAAGAAGCUUUGGGAGGCAACUUGGCAGGCCUGGAGAGAAGAGACGUCUCUCCCACAGCAUCAGCAAACUAACACAUCAGAAGAGGGACUGAUGGGCUGUCCGCUUUGCCCAGAACCCCACCCAGCUGCUAGAACCUGCUGGCUGUCUCCCGGGCCCUCCGCUCCUCCGGGGACCCUGUGCUGUUGUCCUGCGGUUUGCGCCAUUCCUUACCUCACGUUACUAAACCAAUAGCACUAUUUGUGGUCAUUUUUGGCAGAUUACCACAUCUUGUUCAUUGAGAAUGUCUUUUACUCCCUAAUGUAUUUACCUCUCGUGGACUUAAUGUGACUGAAUAAUGACCGUCUUUGCAGGAGCAGAAGAGCCUUUGCAACUACUGGCAUUACAUAAACACUUGGAAUCUUGCAGCCGUGGGCCUGUGCUGGGUGAGGGAGGAAGUGGGAAGGUUUGGUGCUGGGCUGAGCGGCACAUGGCAGACCCUCAGCGGGGUCAGGAGAGGCCAGGGAGGCCCUUGUGAGGCCUGAGGAGAGCCGUCUUGGGCAGUGGCUGCUCUCACACCUCCUCCUCUUUUUUUUUUUUGCUUGUUAGGGCCUGUAAACAUGCUGUAAACAACUGGUACUUGAGGAACCAGGAGAGAGAGAGCACCAGGACACGCUGUUACGUAACUGAACCCUCGACGCCCUUGAGAAUGACAUGUUUGCAAGUUCCCAGGGACUGAUGCUACUGGGGCAACGAGGGAGAGAAGCCCCGCUUCAUCCUCCCCUUCCUCCUCCUCGGCCCACAUUUCCUCCUGUGGAAAUACUGGCUACCACGAGGGGUUCUAGCUUCAGCGCUGCGUUUUCUUGCCUGUGGCCCUUGUGACUGGCAUAGAAAUAAUUCAGCUGUUUCCAUUUUAAUUCCUCACCACAUGGCCAGAAUUGCUUAUCAAUGUAUAUUUUAAAAGGACAAAAAAAAUAUUUUAGGAGUUCCUGUUGUGGCGCAGUGGUUAACGAAUCCGACUAGGAACUAUGAGGUUGCGGGUUCGGUCCCUGCCAUUGCUCAGUGGGUUGACGAUCCGGCGUUGCCGUGAGCUGUGAUGUAGGUUGCAGACCUGGCUUGGAUCCCGAGUUGCUGUGGCUCUGGCGUAGGCCGGUGGCUACAGCUCCGAUUUGACCCCUAUCCUGGGAACCUCAAUAUGCCGCGGUAGCGGCCCAAGAAAUAGCAACAACAACAACAACAACAACAAAGACAAAAA
rnacentral:lncRNA from 1 species